rnacentral:rRNA from 1 species
AGUGAACGCUGGCGGUAGGCCUAACACAUGCAAGUCGAACGGCAGCACAGUAAGAGCUUGCUCUUACGGGUGGCGAGUGGCGGACGGGUGAGGAAUACAUCGGAAUCUACUUUUUCGUGGGGGAUAAAGUAGGGAAACUUACGCUAAUACAGCAUACGACCUACGGGUGAAAGCAGGGGAUCUUCGGACCUUGCGCGAUUGAAUGAGCGGAUGUCGGAUUAGCUAGUUGGCGGGGUAAAGGCCCACCAAGGCGACGAUCCGUAGCUGGUCUGAGAGGAUGAUCAGCCACACUGGAACUGAGACACGGUCCAGACUCCUACGGGAGGCAGCAGUGGGGAAUAUUGGACAAUGGGCGCAAGCCUGAUCCAGCCAUACCGCGUGGGUGAAGAAGGCCUUCGGGUUGUAAAGCCCUUUUGUUGGGAAAGAAAAGCAGCAGGUUAAUACCCCGCUGUUCUGACGGUACCCAAAGAAUAAGCACCGGCUAACUUCGUG